ensembl:lncRNA
GUAACGAUGUACAAAUAGUUACCCUCUUAGUGAUCCCAAUUUCAAAAACAGAAAUACUCAUAAUAAUAAUUCAUAAAUCAUACAAGUGUUAAACAUGGGUUUAAAGAUUAACUUCUUGUUAAUUCAGCCACAGUGUCAGAUUUCAAAAAGGCUUUACGGCGAAAGCAAACCAUGCUAUUAUCUGAGGACAGCACCCCAUCAAACAAACACAUGACAAUCAUAUUUCAACCCGCCAGGCUCGACACAGAACUCAGAAAUAACGAUAUAAUUCAUGCCUUACCUUUGAAGAUCCUCUUCUGUUGGCACUCCAAUAUGUCCAUUAAACAUCACAAAUGGUCCUUUUGUUCGAUAAAUUCUGUCCUUUAUAUCCCCAAAACGUCAAUUUAUUUGGCGCGUUUGAUUCAGAAAAUACACCGGUUCCAACUCGCGCAACAUGACGACAAAGUAUCUAAUAAGUUACCUGUAAACUUGAUCCAAACAUUUCAAACAACUUUCCUAAUCCAACUUUAGGUAUUUUUAAACGUAAAUAAUCAAUCAGAUUUAAGACGGAAUAAACUGUGUUCAAUACCGGACGAAAACAAAGUGGAGCGAGCUUUCAGGUCGCGUCCCCCAACCACAACAGUACACUUGGCUAUCCACCCAGAUAGGAAAUGGCUACUUCUUAAUUUCUCAAAGGAAAAACAUCAACCAAUUUCUAAAGACUGUUGACAUCUAGUGGAAGCGAUAGGAACUGCAAGCAAGUGCCUUAGAAAUCUAGACAAUCCUGACAGUGGUCAGGCAUUCUGCCGCUGUGUACUCUCUGUUUAAGGUCAAAUAGCAUUCUAGUUUGCUCUGUUUUUUGUUAAUUCUUUCCAAUGUGUCAAGUAAUUAUCUUUUUGUUUACUCAUGAUUUGGUUGGGUCUAAUUGUGUUGCUGUCCUGGCGCUCUGUGGGGUAUGUUUGUGUUUGUGAACAGAGUCCCAGGACCAGCUUGCUUAGGGGACUCUUCUCCAGGUUCAUCUCUCUGUAGGUGAUGGCUUCGGUGUGGAAGUAUUGGGAAUCGCUUCCUUUUAGGUGGUUGUAGAUUUUAACUUCUCUUUUAUGGAUUUUGAUAAUUAGCAGGUAUCGGCUAAUUCUGUUCUGUAUUAUUUGGUGUUUUAUGUUGUACACGGAGGAUAUUUUUGCAGAAUUCUGCGUGCAGAGUCUCAAUUUGGUAUUUGUCCCAUUUUGUGAAUUAUUGGUUGAUGAGCGGACCCCAGAUCUCACAACCAUAAAGAGUAAUGGGUUCUAUAACUGAUUAAAGUAUUUUUAGCCAGAUCCUAAUUGGUAUGUUAAAUUUUAUGUUCCUUUUGACGGCAUAGAAUGCCCUUCUUGCCUUGUCUCUCAGAUCGAUCACAGCUUUGUGGAAGUUACCUGUGGCACUGAUGUUUAAGACAAGGUAUGUAUAGUUUUUUGUGUGCUCUAGGGCAACGGUGUCUAGAUGGAAUUUGUAUUUGUGGUCCUGGCGACUGGACCUUUUUUGGCCCUCCUUGGUUGGUGACAGAAGCACCAGAUCAUCAGCAAACAGUAGACGUUUGACUUCAGAUUCUAGUAGGGUGAGGCCGGGUGCUGCAGACUGUUCUAGUGCCCUCGCCAAUUAUAUAU